CAGUAGCCGCGGUAAUACGAAGGGGGCUAGCGUUGUUCGGAAUUACUGGGCGUAAAGCGCACGUAGGCGGAUAUUUAAGUCAGGGGUGAAAUCCCGCAGCUCAACUGCGGAACUGCCUUUGAUACUGGGUAUCUUGAGUAUGGAAGAGGUUAGUGGAAUUGCGAGUGUAGAGGUGAAAUUCGUAGAUAUUCGCAGGAACACCAGUGGCGAAGGCGGCUAACUGGUCCAUAACUGACGCUGAGGUGCGAAAGCGUGGGGAGCAAACAGGAUUAGAGACCCGAGUAGUCCCUGUCUCUUAUAC
rnacentral:rRNA from 1 species